rnacentral:rRNA from 1 species
UACGUAGGGUGCGAGCGUUAAUCGGAAUUACUGGGCGUAAAGCGUGCGCAGGCGGCUUUGCAAGACAGAUGUGAAAUCCCCGGGCUCAACCUGGGAACUGCAUUUGUGACUGCAAGGCUAGAGUACGGCAGAGGGGGAUGGAAUUCCGCGUGUAGCAGUGAAAUGCGUAGAUAUGCGGAGGAACACCAAUGGCGAAGGCAAUUCCCUGGGCCUGUACUGACGCUCAUGCACGAAAGCGUGGGGAGCAAACAGG